rnacentral:tRNA from 1 species
GCCGAUGUUGCCUAAUGGUCUAUGGCGUCGCUUUCCUAAGGCGAAGGUUGCGGGUUCGAGUCCCGUCAUCGGUU